rnacentral:lncRNA from 1 species
UUUUUUUUUUUUUUUUAAGUAUUUGUUUGAUUGAGCUUAGUAUUUUUGGUCAUUUACAUUACGUUAUAAGCAUCAGAAACCCUCUAAGUUUUUAUUCUUAUCAAAGAAAGCCUAAUUCAGUGGUAGAAACUGAGGAACAAUAACAAAAACUAACCUGCUCACAAAAUAUUUUAACUUUGGCAGCCCUAUUCACUCAAGGCUAUUAUGUAAAGCUAAAUUACAUGAGUUCUUAGAAAGAGAAAAAUAGGAUAUAUAGUAGUUGUUUUCAUUUUCACAUUCUAAUAAGUAUUAAUGAGUAUAUUCAACCAUGUUGAAUAACAAGGUACACUGCGUUGUCAGUGUUCGUGCAAGUCUUAGUUUCUUAAAAGAAAAGCUGUUUUCAAAAGCUUUGGGUUCCUCUGAUCUAGAGUCUUUCCCAUUCCAUUCUAAUAAAAUUAAUUCAUAUACAUGAUCAAGGUGAGUAGGUAGAUGACAGUGAUGAGGAGACAAAAAUAAACACAAAAGCCAUUCCCUGAUAGAAGUGAUGCCAGGUUUGAUUUGUGGAAACUGCGUUUAGCUGUGGUGUAUGUGCAUUUUCAGGACUACCUCUGGGUCUCAAGAAGCUUCUUUUGGAAAUGUAGUAUUAAAUGUCACUACAACAUGUUGUCCAUGGCCUUUCAUAACAUGUCUGCCAAAGUCAGCCUGUGCAUGCAGGACAAGAAAUAAUUUCCCACUAGGCAAAAAUUCCCAAUGACUAUUAAAACUCACAUGCAUAAUGAGUCUGCUCUUUUUAUGCAAAUGUUUAUUGAUCAUUUCCAUCGGAGCAUUAGACAGUGAAAUGUGUGCAAACAUUUAGACAGUUUCUUUAACGGGUUUCUAUCUUUAUGAAGAGGUUUUUUUUUUUUUUAAUUUUUAAAGUAUUUUCAUUUGCAAAUUGUGAUCACUGUGGUGAGCCCCCGGAAUAAUUAGUGUAUCCUAAUUUUUCAGUUUUCAAUUAAAAAAAGAAAAAAAAUGAACAUAAGGUGUGUGGAAAGAGCAUUAAUAUAGGUAGGUAUUCAUAAUAUUGUAAGAUAUCCAAGGUUAAGAUAAUCACAAAAUCAGACUGAUAGAAGACUAUCAGAACACUGUGUUAUUCUUAGAAAAUACUAUCUGUAGUUGUGUUUGAUUAUCUUUGUACAUUUUACCACUGUUUGACCUAGAGAAAGGAUUUGCCUAUGAAGCGCAAAGUAAAAGAAUGCUGAGGAAGAUAUUGGGUUUGUCAUUUGAAUAACAGAUAUUAUAUAGAAAUUGACUAAAAUUACAUACAGUGCUGUCCCUUUAAUAAGAUAAACACAUUCUCAGAACAAAUGUGCUAGAAAUCAAUGUAAAAUAUACAUUUUAAAAAUUCCCAAAGCAUAUUUUAUUUAAAUAUAAGACUCAGUACAUUUGUCCUACCAAGAUCUUUAAAAAUGGGAACUUCCUUAAGAAGGGCUUGGCUGUAACUUCGAAUUUAAGAUUAUAUGAUUAAAUGCACAUGUUUAUUGAACAUCAUUCAUCCAAAUCCCUGACUGAAUCCUUUCCUAUGAUUUAAAUUAACCUCUUAAUCACCCAAAGCCAGAUCAGCAACACAUUUUAUAUUUGGUUAUAAAGAAAACCAUAAUGAUUGGGUUAAGUAUAGCACUCAUUUACUGGUGUUUCUGUAGACAUCCGAAGGGGAAAAAAAUGAAAGUGGCUUUGUGAAACCUGUAUUGAGGGGUGGGAGAGACUGCUAAAAAUGUUUCCAAUAACAGAUUUUUGGUUUUCCGUCCCUUUUUCCCCUGAAACAUCUAUCCUACAUAUCUCAAAAUGCAGAAAAUGCAUAUCUUCUUCACAAAUCCCACAACUCUCAAGCACCCUGGCACCAGACAUAGCAUCUGUUGUUUCACUGUUCGAUAAUUCACAGUUAGCCAAAGUGGGAAAUGCGAACAAUCCUUUUUCAUAUUUGCAUACUUGGAAUUUGGCUUUUUGAUUCAUGAUUGCUCCCAUUAGCUUUGAAAAAUACACGUUUCUAUCUAGUUGCCUGUUUUGCUUGAGUGGGCUGAAAUUAUGCUCUUGACUCAACUACUAUUACAAGUGUAAAUACUUUGGAAAUAUAAGUGUCUGCCACUGAUUUUGGGGGUGUUGGUUUUAUUGAUUUUCAUCUGGCAAGUUUAAAAUAUAAGCAAACUUUUCAGGGAGGGUUUGGGGGCAUUUGUUUGAACACUCCUGGAGUAAUUGGAAAUGCAACAAUUGUUUAAAAAGUGGCAUUGUCCAUGAAAAGAUUUAGUGAGGGAUGAAGAAAUUUCUUGAACCUAAAGACCUAAUCUGGUGAUCCAAUUCUCCCCACUGUGUCCAUUCCCGUGAAACUCCAUUUACUUGCCCCUAUCCAUCACUAGCUCUCUGCAUCCUACCUAGCCAAUCCUCUAGGUUUCCCACAUUGUCUCCUCUUUUGUCUUUUCAGUCUAAACAGAAGAACAACAGAUAGAGUUCUGAAGGGCAGGGAGCAUCAGGAGCUGCAGGAGAAUGGCUGAGAUGAGGGUCAGAGUCCUGCCCCUACUGCCAACAGUUACUGGGGUUUGUGCUGCCCGGCUGAACAGUGUUCAAAGGCUUUGCUGGGCUUUGUUCCACUGUGUAGGGAUUAGGCCUGGCGGUCUGAGAAUUUGCCUUCUAAUUAAAAAGGAUAAAAGAU